GUCCACGCCCUAAACGAUGUCGACUAGGUGUUGGGGAAGGAGACUUCCUUAGUACCGCAGCUAACGCGUGAAGUCGACCGCCUGGGGAGUACGGUCGCAAGAUUAAAACUCAAAGGAAUUGACGGGGACCCCGCACAAGCGGUGGAUGAUGUGGAUUAAUUCGAUGCAACGCGAAAACCUUACCUACCCUUGACAUGUCAGGAAGUUGGCCGAGAGGUCGAUGUGCCCGAAAGGGACCUGAACACAGGUGCUGCAUGGCUGUCGU
rnacentral:rRNA from 1 species